UAAAAUAAUUUAAUGAUUCAUCAUUUGCAUCAACAUAUUCAUGAUCACAUUUUAUUUUUCCAGGUUUUGUAUUGUUUUUAUAGAGCUGCUCUCACAUGCUUCAGCAACAUUAGAUGGAUGAGUGAUCCAGGAGAAAACAAGGCCGGACUGUCAUGUCUUUUAUAACCCAGCCUCAAAGUCACCCAUCAUUACUUCUGCAAGAUACUAUGGACUACACAGGUGGACCCUAUUUAAUGUGGGAGAGGAAUACCUAAAGGGAUAAGAUGAAAUGAUGUCUCACCCAAACAAAGGCCAACAAGUAAGAGAAUUGAAAAGAUAUUUCAGUGAGGCUCAGCAUUCGAAAAACACAGCAGAGAAGAGGAAAACAGCAUCAUCAAAUCUAUGUGAGCUGUCUCCACAUCUUCAAAGAAAGAAGUACGAAUCUAGAAAAAAACUGCAAAGAAAAGAGAACAAGAAGCAAAGAUUCAUCAAAACAAUUCCCAGAAAAUCGACCCUAUGUAGUAAAAUAAUGAAAAUUUUCAUUGGCAUGUCAGAGCACUUACUCCAGAAUUUUAAAAGUGCACUCACUCCAGAUUUAAAAGUGCACAGAGUACAUGAGAAUGCAGUCUUGGAAUUAUAAUGCCCUAAGGAUAGAAGAGAAAUAAAGCCAUCUGAUGUGACCAUUCCCCCUUUGCCUUGUCCCAUGACUGGAAGUUUUCUGAGGCCUCCCCAGAAGCAGAUGCUGCCAUGCUUCCUGAACAGCCUGCAGAACUACAGGCCAAUUAAAACUUGGGUUUUUUUUUUUUAAAUAAAUUACCUAGUCUCAGUUAUUUCUUUAUAGUA
rnacentral:lncRNA from 13 species